UGACAACUGAUGCAAAAACUACGGUUUGCGAGUCAAGAGAAGCUCUGAGAACAAAUCUUGAAGAGUUGCCGCCGAAUUGAAAGCCGAUAUUUCGACAUCUCCUCCGCGAGUGAAGGCCAGGAGGCCGUAAAGAAUGGGUAGAACCGGAGAGAAAUUGGCGGCGAGGAACGAGAGAAGAGGAGAUUGGAGAACAAGAAAGGAGAGAAAG
rnacentral:misc_RNA from 1 species